rnacentral:rRNA from 1 species
UACGAAGGGGGCGAGCGUUGUUCGGAUUUAUUGGGCGUAAAGGGCGCGCAGGCGGUCUUGAAAGUCAGGCGUGAAAGCCCCGGGCUUAACCUGGGAAUUGCGCUUGAUACUCUGAGACUGGAGUACGGGAGAGGAGAGUGGAAUUCCCAGUGUAGAGGUGAAAUUCGUAGAUAUUGGGAAGAACACCAGUGGCGAAGGCGGCUCUCUGGACCGUAACUGACGCUGAGGCGCGAAAGCGUGGGGAGCAAACAGG